ACAUGGACUAUACCAUGAAUUUCCAACCAUAUUCCUAGGAAUCCACUAUCUCCUCUACGCAUUAAACAAAGACCUGUACCAACUUGUUUUCUGUCUCCACAUUCAUUUGUCAAUUCAUAUACUUCAAGUCUACGCCCUUGACUCCCCACCCUGCUUCACCCCUUCCUCUCGGGCAAUUCCAAUUACUAAAGAGAAAAGAUGAUCCCAGAGCAGUUCCAGAAGAGGCUUAAUGCCUUUUACAUAAAUUGGAUCCAACACAAGAAACAACUAUGGGGAAAUUCUGAUGUUGUGGUUAUUCACACCCCACCAAAAUUGGCCAAGUUCUGCAAUCCAAAAUCAUCCUCCUUCUUUUUAUGGCUCUUAGGUGAUGACUUUACCGAUACAACUGUAAUCUUCACUCCUUAUGGAAUUUACUUCCUCUGUACCCAUAAAAGCUUUUCCAAGCUCCGUGAAUUUUGCUCUUGUGUCACGUUGACACAGAAAAUCCCAACAUCAGUUCAACUGAAAGACAAGACCGAUGAUGGAUUCUUGAUCAUUGAUGCUACGAUACGUGACGCUAGAAAUAUUCGUAACGAGAAGGCCUUUCUCGAUGUUGAUAAGGAGUGUCCGUUUGUGGUUGGUUACGUAGAAGGCGAGUACCCAAAAUCGAAGCUUUUCUUGAAUUGUAUUAAUAAGUUAGAACCAACUAAGUAUCAGGGCGCCACUGUCAAUUUUGGUCUUGAUGUGAUGUUUAACGUGGCUGAUGAACAAAGUGUUGGACCCUCCGCGCGUUUGGAUGAGAAAUUGGUCUCAAUAUCAAAGGAAAACGAAGCUAACCAGUCACGUAAAUCUGAAGAAAAGAAUAUAUUGCAGGAGUCUUGUUCACUUAUGGACUAUGAUUUGGAGCAUAAAUUGCAAUUAGAUGAUCCAGUCAAUUAUUUGUCAAGCAAACUAGAAGAAAACAAGAUAUUACUUGAGAAGGAGAAAGUUUAUAUUGCGACGUCGACUUCACUGAUGGAUGGUACAAUAUCAGGAGAUGAUUUCACUGGCAGCUUGAGGAAGGAUUCUGUAGUUAUGGAUCAUGACGAUGAUGAAGAUUGGAUGCUAAUUGAAGGAAAGGAAGAAGGACAAGAAACAAACGUGGCUAAUAAACUCAGCUGGAAAAGGUGGAUCACGGAUAAAAUAUCAAAAUCAUUUGGUCUUAGGGAUAAAACGAAGAUUAAGGCUUCUUCACACUAAUGUGCCUGUGCCUGAGGUCUCUUCUCAUUAGUUGCUAGCAUCACUUUGUGCGUCCCAGUGCUCCUGCUCUAGUUUCGUUGUUGUUGUUGUACAGUUUGUGAUAUUGAAGUAAAAAUAAACAGGACGGCAAGAGUCCCACAUUGAAGUGUGAUUAGCAAAGUCAUCUUAUCUUUUACCGUUAAGACAACUGGUAACAGGCUUGUUAUAUAUGAUGUGGCUUCUCCGGUUCUCAUAUACUUUGAUGACCUUCCAUUUUGUCAUAUACUUCCUAACUGGUAAUCAGGAAGCAACUCCCUCGAUGAAAUUAGUUUUGCAUUUGAAAGAAGCUGUGAGUGAUUAUGUUAAUUUUGUAUCGGACGAAUACUUUGGUGCGAAAAUGUUUACACA